rnacentral:rRNA from 1 species
AUUGAACGCUGGCGGCAGGCUUAACACAUGCAAGUCGAGCGGGGGAAGGUAGCUUGCUACCGGACCUAGCGGCGGACGGGUGAGUAAUGCUUAGGAAUCUGCCUAUUAGUGGGGGACAACAUCUCGAAAGGGAUGCUAAUACCGCAUACGUCCUACGGGAGAAAGCAGGGGAUCUUCGGACCUUGCGCUAAUAGAUGAGCCUAAGUUGGAUUGGCUAGGUGGUGGGGUAAAGGCGUGCCAAGGCGACGAUCUGUAGCGGGUCUGAGAGGAUGAGCGGCCACACGAGGGCUGAGAGAGGGCCCGGACGCCUACGGGAGGCAGCAGUGGGGAAUAUUGGGCAAUGGGGGGAACCCUGAUCCAGCCAUGCCGCGUGUGUGAAGAAGGCCUUGUGGUUGUAAAGCACUUUAAGCGAGGAGGAGGCUCUUUUGGUUAAUACCCAAGAUGAGUGGACGUUACUCGCAGAAUAAGCACCGGCUAACUCUGUGCCAGCCGCCGCCGUAA